rnacentral:rRNA from 1 species
GAGCGCCGUAGCAAUACGGAGCGGCAGACGGGAGAGUAACACGUGGGAACGUACCCUUCAGUCCGGAACAACCCAGGGAAACUUGGGCUAAUACCGGAUACACUCCGUAAGGAGAAAGAUUUAUCGCUGAUGGAUCGGCCCGCGUCUGAUUAGCUAGUUGGCGAGGUAACGGCUCACCAAGGCUACGAUCAGUAGCUGGUCUGAGAGGAUGAUCAGUCUCACUGGGACUGAGACACGGCCCAGACUUCUACGGGAGGCAGCAGUGGGGAAUAUUGGACAAUGGGCGCAAGCCUGAUCCAGCCAUGCCGCGUGGAUGAUGAAGGCCUCAGGGUUGCAACAAUCUCUUCUCUACAGGCAAGAUAAUGACGGUACCCGUACGAACUAAGCCUCCGGAUAACUUCGUUGCAGCUAGCGCGGUGUCAUACGAAGGGGGCUAGCGUUGCUCGGAAUCACCUGCGACAUUAUGCCGCACGUACGCUGGACUUUGUCUAAGUCAGAGGUGACAUUCCUGGAGCUUAUCUCCGCGAACUCGCCUCUCCGAUACUGAUACAUGCUUCUG